AGCAAUGGUACUCGCAGUGAAUGAACUUCAACACUUUGUGUUGGGAAAUGUCAAAAGAUUAUCGUUGUUUAUGUUUACAACGCAACGACGAAUUCGAUGGUUCGCGAAGCCAUGAAUUGUAGCGUUUUUGAUACGAAAUUUAUCGCGGUCGAUGGCUAAAACGGUCGAAAAAAGUAUCCGCGAAGAGAACGUUUCCCGGGGGUGCACUGAAUACCGCGAUUCGACAUCAUUUUCCGGUCUUAUUUCCCUAGCUGUUCGUGAAUCCGCGGAGAUGGGAACCAAACUCUUACGCCGAGAAUCUCGAGUUUGCCAGGAUUUCAUGGAAAUCGGUCCGGACCUUUUAUGAAUGGUUUGGGACAUCGUGUGUCCGCGUAUGUAGCUCGACGGGAUGUAUGGAUUCGCCAGUUCGCUUGUCUCGAACUGGUCCCGCGAGACUACCAAUAGAGCGUACUUCCUGACUUCGGAGGAGUUGC